rnacentral:tRNA from 1 species
GCGGAUAUGAUGAAAUUGGUAAACAUAAACGUUUUAGAUGCGUUGGAGAAAUCUUGCAAGUUCGAGUCUUGCUAUCCGUA